rnacentral:lncRNA from 1 species
UGAAGAGGGAGGCACAAGUGGGCAGAGGGCCCCAGCCAGCACCUUGCCCUCUGCUUUGGAGGCAUUGAGAAUCUGUCUCCAAGCUAGCACCAUGGACAGGAGGCCAAGCCCUACCUCACACAGUCCCAAUCAUUCCCAAAACAGCCGGUGAGGAGAUGGCACAGGUGUGCGACCAUUUCAUUCUGGAGACUCUGGAAAGGGUGGAGAGGAGAGCGCCCUGAGAAAGUCUGAGGCAGUUGCUGCUUCCCCUAUUGCUCCUGGCUGCUGUCACUGCUGUUUGUCAAGUGUUCAUGAACAAAGAGAGGAGGAGGCCACGUUGGAGUUCUGAUUAUUAGUAUUAAGGAGUGAAUGGCCCACCUGUAAAGUCG